GACGAACGCUGGCGGCGCGCUUAACACAUGCAAGUCGAACGGAAAGGCCUGCUUUCCCUUGUGGAUUCCGGGUACUCGAGUGGCGAACGGGUGAGUAACACGUGCGUGAUCUGCCCCCAACUUGUGUAUAAGCCUGGGAAACUGGGGCUAAGUCGCGAUAGGUCCGCAGGGUGGGGCCUGAGGUGGCGACCGAUGGUCUAGUGGUUGGGGAUGAGCUCUCGGGCUAUCAGGUUGUUGGUGGGGUAAUGUUCUACCAGUGCGGCGCCGGGAAGGCGGACUGGGAGAGCCGGCGUGCACAGGUGAACUGAGACACGGCGCAGACGACAACGGGCGGCAGCAGUGGGGAGGCAGACGCGAGGGGCGGAAGACUAAGGCCGCGACGCCGCGUGAGGGAUGACGGCCGUCGGGUUGUAGACUCCUUUCGGCCGCGAGGAAGCCACCUGGAUGGAAGGGUGGUGACGGUAGUGGUAGAAGAAGCACCGGCUAACUACGUG
rnacentral:rRNA from 1 species